rnacentral:tmRNA from 1 species
GGGGGCGACCUGGUUUCGACGGGGUCAAUCUGGACGGGAGUAGCAAGCCGAGCUUCCGGCGGGCUCGUUAAACUGCCGGAAAAACUAACUUAAACGCAGACAAUAAUCUCGCGUUAGCCGCUUAAUCUAAGCGACUCAUCGCUCCCGGUUCGUCCGUGGCCGGGAUCAGCGGUGUCAGAUAGCGGACUUAGUCACCGCGGUCGUCUCUCGCCGCGGCCGGCGAAACCUUAGGGAGACUGGCCGACCGGAUCCGGUCUUCGCGGAGCCGGGACGCGAGAACUAAAUGCGAAGACUAAGCUUGUAGCGACUCCCCUUUGGAUGACUUCGGACGCGGGUUCGAUUCCCGCCGCCUCCACCA